GGAGUCGUAGCUCAGUGGCAGAGCACUUACCUAGCAUGUGUGAGGCACUAGGUUCGAUCCUUAGCAUACCU
rnacentral:tRNA from 1 species